GACGAACGCUGGCGGCGUGCUUAACACAUGCAAGUCGAACGGACAGGCCCUUCUUUUUUGUGUUUCUCGAUUGGCGAUCGGGUGAGUAACACGUGUGUAACCUUCCCUUUUCUUUUUGAUAACUUCACGUAACUGUUGCUCCUACCGUAUCUGAUCUCCUGCUGCAUGGUUUGGUUUGGUUUGUUUCGGCGGUUGGGGAUGGACUCGCGGGUUAUCAGCUUGUUGGUGGGGUAGUGGCUUACCAAGGCUUUGACGGGUAGCCGGCCUGAGAGGGUGACCGGCGACAUUGGGACUGAGAGAGGGAGCAGAGGGGAACGGGAGGCAGCAGUGGGGAAUAUAGAACAAUGGGAGGAAGCGGGAUGCAGAAACGCCGGGUGCGGGAAGACGGCCUGCGGGGUGAAAAAAGAGUUAGGAGGAGACGAAGAGUGAGUGACGGUAAUGGGUAAAGAAGCACCGGCUAACUACGUG
rnacentral:rRNA from 1 species